UACUUCAGUUUCUCUUCAGGUCAUAGUAAUCUUUUACCUUUUACUAAAGAUUUCCAUGGAGAAGAACAAUUCUGAAUCUGAAACUG
rnacentral:snRNA from 1 species